GGUUGAUCCUGCCAGUAGUCAUAUGCUUGUCUUAAAGAUUAAGCCAUGCAUGUCUUAGUAUAAGCUUUUAUACAGCGAAACUGCGAAUGGCUCAUUAAAACAGUUAUAGUUUAUUUGAUGUUCGUUUUACAUGGAUAACCGUGGUAAUUCUAGGGCUAAUACAUGCUCGAGGCAUAUUUUUUAUGCGGCGUUUAUUAGACUCUUAACCAACCCCUUUUUGGGUUUCUCGGUGAUUCAUAAUAAAUUAGCGAAUCGCAUGGCUUUGCCGGCGAUGUAUCAUUCAAGUUUCUGACCUAUCAGCUUUGGACGGUAGGGUAUUGGCCUACCGGGGCGACGACGGGUAACGGGGAAUUGGGGUUCGAUUCCGGAGAGGGAGCCUGAGAAACGGCUACCACAUCUAAGGAAGGCAGCAGGC
rnacentral:rRNA from 1 species